UACGUAGGGUGCGAGCGUUAAUCGGAAUUACUGGGCGUAAAGCGUGCGCAGGCGGUUUUGUAAGCCAGAUGUGAAAUCCCCGGGCUUAACCUGAGAAUGGCAUUUGGGACUGCAAGGCUCGAGUGCGGCAGAGGAGACUGGAAUUCCUGGUGUAGCAGUGAAAUGCGUAGAUAUCAGGAGGAACACCGAUGGCGAAGGCAGGUCUCUGGGCUGACACUGACGCUCAUGCACGAAAGCGUGGGGAGCAAACAGG
rnacentral:rRNA from 1 species